rnacentral:misc_RNA from 1 species
AAAAUAAAAUAAAAUUAAAAAAUUUGCCAUAUUUCGCGACCUCGUAAACAACAAAACGAACGUAACAGAAUGAGCCUUCAGUCGCGAUUCCCGGGAAAGUCACGAAACAAACAACUUUUGCUUAAAUCAUUAUAAGGCAAUGGCAUCUCUUCCUCAACAAUGCUACUCUCUUCCUUCUUCCUUUUUAUUAUGCUCACUGCAGCUGCUUUCUUUCUUUAGAACCUGUUAUCUGACUCGCCGCUAAUCCAUGGUCCAUUCCGCCCCCCGGAAGCCUCUUCCCAGUCGAGGAAAUUCUCCUGGUGCUGCUUCUCGUCUGGUCAUCCUCCUAGCCCUGAGAACCCUGUAAUCAUAGAUAAACACUUCAUAAAAAACAUGACUUGUUCUCUAAACCCACUUCAAACUCGAUCCCCAACUCUCCACUUAACUCCAAAUCCGGGUUGAACUUCGUGGGUAGGAUCCUCUCGCCGGGCCGUGUUUCCCCUAUCGACUCCGACUCAACCGCCGUCGAUUCCAUUCCAGAGAUCGUCCCUGAGCCAUCUUCAUUCGUCGAUUGAGCUUUGAAAUCAAGAUCUGAGUCUUUCCGGGGCAAGGAUGAGGGCUGUUUAUCACAUUCGGGUUCGGGUUGGUUGGGGUUCGGAGCCAUGUGGGGGCAUGUUUGACGUUAGACUGAAUUUGAGGGGGAAGAAGGGAGGGUCUUUGGUACUGGAAACUAGCUCGGAAGUUCUUUUUGCGAAUUCGGAGGUUUUUGCGGGGUUGAUUUUGGAAUAUCGGAAAGGGUUGGGGCCGACGGGUGAUAGCAAAAUCAGUAAUGAUUCGUCAAAGAUGUGUAGAAUAGAGGUGUCUGAUGUAGAGAAUUUGGGGGUUU